UACGAAGGGGGCUAGCGUUGCUCGGAAUCACUGGGCGUAAAGCGCACGUAGGCGGACUCUUAAGUCGGUGGUGAAAUCCUGGAGCUCAACUCCAGAACUGCCUUCGAUACUGAAAGUCUCGGGUCCGAGAGAGGUGAGUGGAACUGCGAGUGUAGAGGUGAAAUUCGUAGAUAUUCGCAAGAACACCAGUGGCGAAGGCGGCUCACUGGCUCGGUACUGACGCUGAGGUGCGAAAGCGUGGGGAGCAAACAGG
rnacentral:rRNA from 1 species